rfam:Myotis davidii contig145163, whole genome shotgun sequence.
GCCCAUGUUGCUAAGUGGUUAGAGCAUCAGUCCAUGGACCCAAGGGUUGAGGGUUCAAUUCCCUGUCAAGGGCA